rnacentral:lncRNA from 1 species
AAAAAGUUUUAUUAAAAGUGAAAACCAACAUAGCCAACCUUUUUCUUCAAACUGCGAUAUGACUAAAGUUUUGCAAACACUUUUUUAGAAAACACGUUUAAAAAAAAAAAAGUUCUGUCUCCACAUUUACCAUGAAGUAGGUCUAACACAAUAAAAAACAAAUCAAAAUAUUUCAACAAGGAAGUGAGGCACUGACCAAAAAUGCCUGCGAAUUUGCAUUAGGGAGGUAGCAACACUAUUUAAAAACGAAAAAAAAAAAAUGUAAUCUUUUAAGGCACCACCACUCUUUUCAGUAUGUCUGACGAAUUUCUUCAAAUGUCUUACUUCGAGGUAAAAGAACAGGGCUACUCAGCAUUUGCUUGUUGCAAAACAUCCCCUCUGGCUAACACAACUCAAGUUUUACGACUAAGUUGGAACAUCAGAUAAUCAAGUCAAACCUGGCCUUAGGUAUGGGGUUGGCCACUUCCCCUCUGAACUAACAUUCCCUUGCAACCUGAUAGCUACGAGCCAAAGGCCUCUUUAUCCUAUCUCUGCACAACAGACACAGUCCCUCUCCACCCAGCAGUAAAUCUUUCUGCAAACUCAGCAAGGUCCACCUGAGCUCAGACUUUGUAAACUCCACUAAGGGUUUAGGGGACAAGGGAGCCUCUAGGAAGUGACGCCAGACAACUCUCGGAACUAGAAGUGCAACGUCGCUGGAGGGCGUGUCGGGCAGCCGGGCGACGUAGCACUUCGCGGGACCAGGCCAUUCAUUAGCUGGAGGGGGCGGCGGGGCUGCGCUCCCGGGCCACUCGCCCGUGCCACGCGGCGCGGAGCUCGAAGCCACCCCUCCGCGAGUCCCCUCCCCGGGCCCUGCUCCCCCGCCGGGCUGGCAGGACGCCGUCGCCUCCUCCCUCACCAGUCGCUAGAUGAAGGUCAAGACUCGGAAGGGAGAAUACGGCCGGGACGGAGAAAACAAGAAGCUGGCUGGAUACCCAAGCAGCCGUCACCACUCAGUGAAAGCAUAGGCAUCUUAGCAAAGUGGGGUGACUGGGAAACCAGAGGUGUCCUCUCCCCAAGAGUCAGCCCUGCUGCUCUGUGAGCCCCUGAUGUACCCGGAUUGUCUGAGUGUCACUCCCUUUGUCAGAAAGCACUAUAGCAUUUUCAGAUUCCCCACUGUUCGAUCAGCUGCUGACUUAGGUCACAUCACUCAUCACUCGGUACCUGAGGCAAGGCUUGCAAUAGGUUUUCUCCCUUUAACUCUAAAUCUAAAGGCCAUUUUAAAAGUUGAAAACUGUUACGGAGAAAAGCAAGCCAAUAAUCAGUCCAGUAUGGGAAACACACUGCUGCUGCUGAAGUCUGAUACAGAGGCGCUUAAGUAAAUAAGUAUUCAGGGAGGAGUAGCAUGACUCAGAGAAGAAAAAAAAGAAAAAAAGAAAAACAGCGCUAGGAUCCUGGAGUUGGUUGAACCUCUCUGUCAUGUUUGUGUUACUAUAUGAGCCACUAGCACUCUUAAUCUAAUAAACAGAGUUAAACUCGGUAUCUUCUUAUGCUGGUUCAGCCUGAUUACCUGUUUUGUAGACUUUGUAGAACAUUAAGUUGCUAGUGCAAAGUGAGGAAGAAAUGAACACUGGAGACCUAGUUCCCCAGCUCUCCCAGUACAAGGACUUUCUUUGCUUUCCUACUUCCUACUUUGACGUGUAACAAAAACCAGUCUGUAGUGUCUAAACAAUGAGUGGAAGCUGUUUAUGAUAAUCACACAUUGAUGAACAAAGGAGCCCAGUGAUCCAAAACUAAUAUAAAUAAAUGUGUUGACCUGAGCUCACAUCUAUUAUCUAUCUCUUCCUUGGAUCCUCUGAGUAAAUCAUUUAGGUUUUCUGAAGCCUUAUUUCCUCAUCCACAAAGUGUAUUUUUGCUAUGGUGAACAUGUAUCUAUAGCAUUGAAUAGAGUGCCAAACACACAAUUAACACUACACACACACACACACACACACACACACACACACACACACACACACACGGCUAAUUUUUAUACAUAAAGUAUGUCCCUACCUGAAUUAUUCUAAGUAUCCAUUCAUCUAGAAGUUGUCAUGUUGAAAACACUUGUAAACAUUGGAGUACAAAAUGUUCAUAUAGCCAUAAUCCUAUACAAAAG